CCUACGGGCGGCAGCAGUGAGGAAUAUUGGUCAAUGGACGAGAGUCUGAACCAGCCAAGUAGCGUGAAGGAUGACCGCCCUAUGGGUUGUAAACUUCUUUUAUAUGGGAAUAAAAUGUUCCACGUGUGGGAUUUUGUAUGUACCAUAUGAAUAAGGAUCGGCUAACUCCGUGCCAGCAGCCGCGGUAAUACGGAGGCUCCGAGCGUUAUCCGGAUUUAUUGGGUUUAAAGGGAGCGUAGGUGGAUUGUUAAGUCAGUUGUGAAAGUUUGCGGCUCAACCGUAAAAUUGCAGUUGAAACUGGCAGUCUUGAGUACAGUAGAGGUGGGCGGAAUUCGUGGUGUAGCGGUGAAAUGCUUAGAGAUCACGAAGAACUCCGAUUGCGAAGGCAGUUCACUGGACUGCAACUGACACUGAGGCUCGAAAGUGUGGGUAUCAAACAGGAUUAGAUACCCUUGUAGUC
rnacentral:rRNA from 1 species